rnacentral:lncRNA from 1 species
AUUUUUUCAUGUGGUUGCUCCUGAAAAUCAGUGCAAUAUACUCAACACCAUUUAGAAGUUAACUCACUUCGCCUUGAAAAAUAUUUUGUGGGAAUUCAUAUCCUUUAUCAAAUCUAACUGGUAACAGAACCAGAAUGCAUUCUUUUGAUGCCAUGUUGGUUUUGUAAUGAUUUCUUAAGAGCUGCUGAACCAUGCCACAAUUGUGCAAAGAAAAGGCACAGAGCAAAUGCCAAAUCUGAGCUUCACCUGGGCUGAUCUGAUGUCUACAUACAUGUAGUGAUGUUAUUUAACUGUUCCAUGGAUAUGCAGCUUUAGUCAUGGAGCUGGUCUUGCAGAAUCUGGGCUUCUUGGUCUUAACAGUUUCAAUGAUCAGCAUUUCAUUAAUGCAGGGGGAAAAACUGUUCAGCUUAUGGAAUAACUCCAGGCUGAGCCAACCACUGCUACCUGUGCAGCUCUGGGGAGCUGGACACAGCUUCCUGCACUGGGAAUGGAUGGUGAAGCCCAAACCCCAGAAUGAAACAGCUUGAAGUUGUACCUUCUAAGAAGACAAAUUACUGCAGCAGCCAAUUCACUUUGGAGUGAGGUGGGUCUUAGUGCUGGAUGGUUCUAACUAACAUGGCAUGACAGAGCUAUCUUUGGUAGGUAUAUCUGGGGAAGACUGCUUAUCAGGAGCUGAUGGUUCUUGAGUCUAAGCAUUAGAUUAGCCACGUAACUAGAGGUGGUGGAAGCCCCGUCCUUAGACACAUUCAAGGUCAGGCUGGACCAGUCUCUAAGCACCCUGAACAAGCUAUAGAAGUCCCUGUUCACCGCAGGGGAAUUGGACUAGAUGAACUUUAAAUGUCCCUUCCAACUCAAACAAUUCUAUGAUUCUAUCCAAAAGCUCCCAUGUUAGCAGGCAUGAUGAGCAAAGCCUUUCUUUGUAGAAAAAGUGAGAUCCGAAGUGCUGUCCCACCCAAGAGGCAGGGAACUGUAGGUGAAAAGACGACAAACUAUCUAAAAUUUGCACCAGGAGAUCACCAAGAGGUUACCAAGGCCAGGGUCUGUUCUUACCCUAGUAUAGAUUUGGAGUAAAGCUA